AGACGCGGUACGGUAACCUACCUCACACAGAUAACAUACCGAAAGGUAUGCUAAUACGGGAUAAUAUAUUUGAGAGGCAUCUCUUGAAUAUCAAAGGUGAGCCAGUACAGGAUGGACCCGCGUCUGAUUAGCUAGUUGGUAAGGUAACGGCUUACCAAGGCGACGAUCAGUAGCCGACCUGAGAGGGUGAUCGGCCACAUUGGAACUGAGACACGGUCCAA
rnacentral:rRNA from 1 species